UCUCUCUCUCAAAAUAAAUAAAUAAGUCAAUUUUUUCCAGUUUAAAAAAAUAACAAAAUACAACCAUUGUAACAAUAUAAUGAAAGUUACAUGAACGCGGUCUGUCUCUCAAAAUGUCUCGUGCUGCACUCACCCUUCUUCUUCCUCCUGUGAUGCUGUGAGCUGACAAAAUGCCUGUGUCAGUGAUGAGAUAAAGUGAGGCAGGAGACGCAGGCCUUGUGACUUGGCGUCAGGCUACUGCUGACCUGAUGGUGCUCCCGGAGGAUCAUCUGCUUCCGGACCCUGGUUGACCUCGGGUAACCGAAGUCCGUGGGUAAGGGGAGACGACGGUAUAGGCCUGGCACUCAAGGAGAACGUUCGGGAAAGAAGCUGUAGCUAGAAAGGGAUCAGGAUCGUCACCGCGGCCCACUUUUUGUUUAUUUGCGGAUCACCGCCUGCCCAGCCCUUUAUUUGUAAUGUUUAAAGCAAAUGACAAGGUAGGUAAAUGCAUACAGUUGUUUGUAGAACCCAUCCUUGAAUCUUUUUAAUAUGGGUGUUUAAUCUAUGUGUACGUCCCAUUCAACUAAAGUGACCCUCUGACAUAUGUUAUGCUUUCCUGUUACGGUUUUGCGGUUUCUGCCUCCCACUAAAUGGCAAUGUGUUGUUUUCUUUUAUCUUCCACAGUGAUUUGAACAUGAUAUGGCCUGUGUUUUUGUAAUGAAACAAUCGUUGUAAAAGCAAUACACUGCAGACAAAUCAGAAAGUAAAGAUAAGCACAACGAAAUGAAACAGACCCAGAAUCCCACCUACCCAGAGACGCCCACUGUAAACAUGUUUGUGUAUAUCUUCCCAAAUGUCUUCUAGAAAUGUAAACACAUCUGUAUGUAAACACACAACAGAAUCCGCCAGGGAGUCAUCCUACACAUCCACUCCCGUGACCUACUUGGAUGGACGGAGCACGAAUGCCUUUCCUUAUGAAUAAGUCCCCUCUACUUAAUUUUGAAAGUCCCCUUACUGUGGCCCUAGUCAGGCUUCAUAUAGAUAUCUUCAAACUGCCCUUCGGAUGUGUUUGUACCGAAUUCACUUCUCAGCAUGAAUAAUUAAUACUGCUUUUGAUGUUUGCUAAUGUGAUAAAAGGGGAAGAAUAACGCGCAUCCUGUUUUCAUUCGUACGAGUGUCAUACCUAGUCAAGCUGAACAUUGGCAUGCUUCCUUAUCAGUUUUCUUUCAGGAUUUAAUGUAUGAUGAAGGUGAUGUUUUGCAACUAGUCGGGAAAGGAUGGAUCGUUCAGCAAAUGAUGUGGGCACCACUGUUUUCCCAUGAGGAAAAAAGAUGAUUAAACGUUAAAAAACAAGAAAGAACCGCAUAUCUACUGGAAGAGACAUGGGCGUGUUUAUAGCAGCUCACCCCGGCUCAGUGGCCCUGGCCUUGAAAGCACACGUCCCUCCGCCCCCCGCUCGUCGUCCUUCUGGUCUGGGUUCAAGCGACACUUCCUCGGGCGGGUGGCUCAUCCUCCUCUCCACUGGGCAAAGGUCACCUGGCGUAUCUCAUGCCUACCUCGCCUUUGCCACAUUUUGGAC